GUUCGCUCAGCCGAUGGGAGGCCUCAGGGGCUUGAAUCUUCAGGACCAGGCCCUGCAGUUGUAUUUGUACGUGAGAAGAAGAUGUGACGUGAAAUUUCCUGGGACCAGAAAGUGUGCCCCGAAUAGAGAGAACAUCACAGGUCACAGAUGGAAGACUCUGGAAGAUGUAUCUGGGGGUACAGCAUUCCCGCUGAAGGCUCCUUCUGGGCCGGGUCCCAGAGCGUCCUGCGUGCGUGCACACUGUCUGCUCCUUUCGCCUCCACCCUUAGCCAUUAAAAAACAUACAAGAACAGGCUUUUUCCUAGUAAGAGUGGAAUGAACGUGCCAGAAGGCAGUGAGACUGUAGAUGUCGGUGGGGUCCAGAAGGACGAGCGCCCCGCUCCCCCAAGCAGAAUGUAGAGACAACCUCCGGUAAAGGGUAGAAUGAGAUUUCGUUUCUACCACUCUGAUGUAAUGGUGGCCUGAAAGGUAAAGUACUGUGAGUCAAAGGAAACUAGAGCUGUAUUUCUUACUG
rnacentral:lncRNA from 1 species